rnacentral:rRNA from 1 species
AGUGAACGCUGGCGGUAGGCCUAACACAUGCAAGUCGAACGGCAGCACAGUAAGAGCUUGCUCUUACGGGUGGCGAGUGGCGGACGGGUGAGGAAUACAUCGGAAUCUACUUUUUCGUGGGGGAUAACGUAGGGAAACUUACGCUAAUACCGCAUACGACCUACGGGUGAAAGCAGGGGAUCUUCGGACCUUGCGCGAUUGAAUGAGCCGAUGUCGGAUUAGCUAGUUGGCGGGGUAAAGGCCCACCAAGGCGACGAUCCGUAGCUGGUCUGAGAGGAUGAUCAGCCACACGGGAACUUAGACACGGUCCAGACUCCUACGGGAGGCAGCAGUGGGGAAUAUUGGACAAUGGGCGCAAGCCUGAUCCAGCCAUACCGCGUGGGUGAAGAAGGCCUUCGGGUUGUAAAGCCCUUUUGUUGGGAAAGAAAAGCAGCAGGUUAAUACCCCGCUGUUCUGACGGUACCCAAAGAAUAAGCACCGGCUAACUUCGUG